rnacentral:rRNA from 1 species
UACGGGGGGAGCAAGCGUUGUUCGGAUUUACUGGGCGUAAAGGGCGCGUAGGCGGCCAGCACAAGUCAGUUGUGAAAUCUCCGGGCUUAACUCGGAAAGGUCAACUGAUACUGUGCGGCUAGAGUGCAGAAGGGGCAACUGGAAUUCUCGGUGUAGCGGUGAAAUGCGUAGAUAUCGAGAGGAACACCUGCGGCGAAGGCGGGUUGCUGGGCUGACACUGACGCUGAGACGCGAAAGCGUGGGGAGCAAACGGG